UUUCUAGUGAACGAAACGAGUU
rnacentral:snRNA from 1 species